rnacentral:rRNA from 1 species
UACGUAGGGUGCGAGCGUUAAUCGGAAUUACUGGGCGUAAAGCGUGCGCAGGCGGCUUUGCAAGACAGAUGUGAAAUCCCCGGGCUUAACCUGGGAACUGCAUUUGUGACUGCAUGGCUAGAGUACGGUAGAGGGGGAUGGAAUUCCGCGUGUAGCAGUGAAAUGCGUAGAUAUGCGGAGGAACACCGAUGGCGAAGGCAAUCCCCUGGACCUGUACUGACGCUCAUGGCACGAAAGGCGUGGGGAGCAAACAGG